AGCAGCCGCGGUAAUUCCAGCUCCAAUAGCGUAUAUUAAAGUUGUUGCAGUUAAAAAGCUCGUAGUUGAAUUUCGGGAUCAAUAUGUCGGUCGUGCCUUCGGUACGUACUGGUAUCAUUGGUCUCUCCUUUCUGACGAACCAUGAUGUCAUUAAUUUGGUGUUAUGGGGAGUUAGGACUGUUACUUUGAAAAAAUUAGAGUGUUUAAAGUAGGCUUUAGCUUGAAUACAUUAGCAUGGAAUAAUGAAAUAGGACGUUCGAACCUAUUUUGUUGGUUUCUAGGAUCAACGUAAUGAUUAAUAGGGAUAGUUGGGGGCAUUAGUAUUCAAUUGUCAGAGGUGAAAUUCUUGGAUUUAUUGAAGACUAACUACUGCGAAAGCAUUUGCCAAGGAUGUUUUCAUUAAUCAAGAACGAAAGUUAGGGGAUCGAAGACGAUCAGAUACCGUCGUAGUCUUAACCAUAAACUAUGCCGACUAGGGAUCGGAUGAUGUUAAUUUUUUAAUGACUCA
rnacentral:rRNA from 1 species